ACAAGCUUCUGGACUCUGGAUCCAGUCGGGGCUGUGCUGCUUACAGGCACGUCUGAACUUGAGCAAGUUACCUGCUUCUCUGCACCUCUGUUUUCUCAUCUAUAAAAUAGGGAUGAUACUGACAGCUCCCAGCUCACAGACAAGGCCGUUGGUGUGCCUGGCACAAGUGUCAAGGUCAAGGUGUUGAACGUCUUUCGAGUCACGAGUAACCAGUUAUAUUGGCUAUUUCAGAAUGCUUUACAGCCAAAAAGUCCUUGAACGAAGGAAGAAGUCCACUAAGUCUCAUCAGCAAGGGUCCAGCUUCUCUUCAUCUGCAUGUUUUGAACAAUAAAAAUGACUACCACUUUCUGAGAAC
rnacentral:lncRNA from 1 species